rnacentral:rRNA from 1 species
GACGAACGCUGGCGGCGUGCUUAACACAUGCAAGUCGAACGGAAAGGCUCCAGCUUGCUGGAGUACUCGAGUGGCGAACGGGUGAGUAACACGUGGGUAAUCUGCCCUGCACUCUGGGAUAAGCCUGGGAAACUGGGUCUAAUACUGGAUAUGACCUUUCUCCUUAUGGGGUUUGGUGGAAAGUUUUUCGGUGUAGGAUGAGCCCGCGGCCUAUCAGCUUGUUGGUGGGGUGAUGGCCUACCAAGGCGACGACGGGUAGCCGGCCUGAGAGGGUGAUCGGCCACAUUGGGACUGAGAUACGGCCCAGACUCCUACGGGAGGCAGCAGUGGGGAAUAUUGCACAAUGGGCGGAAGCCUGAUGCAGCGACGCCGCGUGAGGGAUGACGGCCUUCGGGUUGUAAACCUCUUUCAGCAGGGACGAAGCGUAAGUGACGGUACCUGCAGAAGAAGCACCGGCUAACUAUGUC